UGGCCAAUCGGACAUCACUAUAUACUCCCAAUGUUAGAAAUCAUGGGUGGAUUUACUUGACAGUUAAGGGGGGGGGGAGUUUAAACCCCUCUAAUAAAGUGUUCAACCCCACCAAAAUUCUGCUGCAACCCUCUCAUUUUGUGUGAAAGGCUUUAUUCCCAAAUGCCUAACCCCUGCCAAAGCUCACUGAGUGGUGCCGCUUGCACCCCACCAGAAAUUUUUCUACCCCUCCUUUUAAAUAAAUGAAAAUCCGCCCUUGUUAGAACUGUUGUAGCAUUACGAAUUUACCUCAUGAUUAGUGUAUCAGUGACUGAUCACUUAAAUUCCGGCAGCUUGUGGG